CCUACGGGAGGCAGCAGUGGGGAAUUUUGGACAAUGGGCGAAAGCCUGAUCCAGCAAUGCCGCGUGCAGGAAGAAGGCCUUCGGGUUGUAAACUGCUUUUGUACGGAACGAAACGGUCUGCUUUAAUACAGUGGGCUAAUGACGGUACCGUAAGAAUAAGCACCGGCUAACUACGUGCCAGCAGCCGCGGUAAUACGUAGGGUGCGAGCGUUAAUCGGAAUUACUGGGCGUAAAGCGUGCGCAGGCGGUUAUAUAAGACAGUUGUGAAAUCCCCGGGCUCAACCUGGGAAUUGCAUCUGUGACUGUAUAGCUAGAGUACGGUAGAGGGGGAUGGAAUUCCGCGUGUAGCAGUGAAAUGCGUAGAUAUGCGGAGGAACACCGAUGGCGAAGGCAAUCCCCUGGACCUGUACUGACGCUCAUGCACGAAAGCGUGGGGAGCAAACAGGAUUAGAUACCCUGGUAGUCCACGCCCUAAACGAUGUCAACUGGUUGUUGGGGUGUCAUUAGUUACUCAGUAACGAAGACUACGACGUGAGUAGACCGCCGNGGGAGGUACGGCCGCGAGUAGUAACGUACAAGUAGAGUUAGACGGCGUGAGACGUGCCGACGGACGACGACGAGGGAGGAGG
rnacentral:rRNA from 1 species